AACGCAACUUGCGCUCUCUGGUAUUCCGGAGAGCAUGCCUGUUUGAGUGUCAUGAAAUCUCAACCAUUAGGGUUUCUUAAUGGCUUGGAUUUGGAGGUUGCCAGUCUAACUGGCUCCUCUUAAAAGAGUUAGCAAGUUUAACUAUUGCUAUCUGGCGUAAUAAGUUUCGCUGGAGCUGGCAUUGUGAAGCGUGCUUCUAAUCGUCUUCGGACAAUUACUUUGACUCUGGCCUCAAAUCAGGUAGGACUACCCGCUGAACUUAA
rnacentral:misc_RNA from 1 species